AGUGAACGCUGGCGGUGGGCCUAACACAUGCAAGUCGAACGGCAGCACAGUAAGAGCUUGCUCUUACGGGUGGCGAGUGGCGGACGGGUGAGGAAUACAUCGGAAUCUACUUUUUCGUGGGGGAUAACGUAGGGAAACUUACGCUAAUACCGCAUACGACCUACGGGUGAAAGCAGGGGAUCUUCGGACCUUGCGCGAUUGAAUGAGCCGAUGUCGGAUUAGCUAGUUGGCGGGGUAAAGGCCCACCAAGGCGACGAUCCGUAGCUGGUCUGAGAGGAUGAGCAGCCACACUGGAACUGAGACACGGUCCAGACUCCUACGGGAGGCAGCAGUGGGGAAUAUUGGACAAUGGGCGCAAGCCUGAUCCAGCCAUACCGCGUGGGUGAAGAAGGCCUUCGGGUUGUAAAGCCCUUUUGUUGGGAAAGAAAAGCAGCAGGUUAACACCCCGCUGUUCUGACGGUACCCAAAGAAUAAGCACCGGCUAACUUCGUG
rnacentral:rRNA from 1 species